AGGGUGUAAACGCUGCAGACUUGGUGUUGGAAGUCCUUUGGGGGCAUUCAGUGCCGGAGAGAAGUUGUUAAGUCUGCUACUUGGGGAGUACGUCCGCAAGGAUGGAACUUAAAGGAAUUGGCGGGGGAGCACCGCAACGGGAGGAGCGUGCGGUCUAAUUGGAUUCAACACCGUAAACUCACCAGGGAAGACUGUUACAUGAAAGCCGAGGUGAAGACUCUGCUAGAUUUUCAGAGGAGGUGCAUGGCGUCAGUGACU
rnacentral:rRNA from 1 species